GGGGGCGGGGACGAUCAUCGCCGUGGCAACGCACGCCAUCCUGUCCGCGGACGCUCCCAGGAUCCUCCAGGAGUCAGUCAUUAGUCAGAGAGGAGAGGAGGAUGUGAAGUUAAAGAACAUGGGUUCUUGGCCCAGCGUUCUCAGUCCACCCCCGCCUCCGCUGUCCGCUCCUCUAGCGACAGCUUCGAACAGGUCCGUCGCGUCGCCCGAGAGAAGGAGAGAGAGAAACAGCUAAAAGCACAGGCCAGGAGAGAGCAGGAGAAACUACGUAGCCGUGACUACGAGGACUCUGUGGAGCAGCAGGGGAGGGGGCGUGUCCAGGAGGACACUCGCCGUCGCCAGGAGCAACUUUCGCCUCAACCCCUCCCGCCGACUCCCCACAGGCCCCUCCCACUCAACAGGCCACACCCUCGGCCGCAGCAGAACGCCAUGGACCAGCAGAGGGAGCUGGCGAGACGCCGCGAGCAGGAAAGGAGGAGGAGAGAGAUGGCGGACACCAUUGACAUCAACUUCCAGAGCGACUUGAUGGCCAUCUUUGAAGAGAACCUUUUCUGAGAGAGAGAUUGAGAAAGGAGGAGAGGGAGAGAAAGAGAUAUGAACUCUACCUUAUCCCACCAUGGCUGGGAUUUCACACACAACACCCUCCCUCCCUCUGAUUAGAGACCCCAGACCAGGAUGUGAGCUCCAGAGACUUGAAGGAGACUGAGGUGAGGUACAGUAAUAAGGAGUAGCCCUC
rnacentral:lncRNA from 1 species